UACGUAGGUGGCGAGCGUUAUCCGGAAUUACUGGGUGUAAAGGGCGUGUAGGCGGCACUGUAAGUCAGAUGUGAAAUCUCCCGGCUCAACCGGGAGCGUGCAUCUGAUACUGCAGUACUUGAGUGAUAGAGGGGAAAGUGGAAUUCCAUGUGUAGCGGUGAAAUGCGCAGAGAUAUGGAGGAACACCAGUGGCGAAGGCGGCUUUCUGGCUAUUAACUGACGCUGAGGCGCGAAAGCGUGGGGAGCAAACAGG
rnacentral:rRNA from 1 species